GUCAGCACAGCCCAGUGCAUGAUUUAAAAUCCUGGUUUUCCUCUUUGCACAAAAGAGUUUGGACAAAACAAAGCUGGGAUGAGCAAGGUCAUGGACUUCUCUACCCUACUGGCCAACAUAUAGGCGAUAAAGGCAAAAUAGAGACUGGCUGUCCAAAGCUUUGUGGACCGUGGGAAGUGAUGUUGCCAAGGUGAUGAUUUGGAACCAGACCGGAGAAGCUGGUGCUAACAAGGACAGGAGACCCAAGGAACAUUUCCUGAAAGGGAAGAGAGAAACUCAAAGGGAAUUCACCAGCAGUUGAUACAAAGACUCCUGAAGGCUUGGGAGGGAGCGAGGACAUGGCUGAGCAAGGAAGAAAGGGAAGGGGACAACAGGAUUUUUAUGAAGGAGUGAAAAGGAAGGACAAUUUGAGAACAUGACCUGUCUUCCUUCUCUGACAUGGAGGCUGGUGAAAGUGAAUCAUCACUGAACAAAUUCUUGCUAAGUUAAAAACAAAUUAAAAUCGCCAUCUAAUGUGGGUAAAGAGAUGCAACUAGCUAACUGCGUGGGUGUGGAUUUCCCACAUGGCCCCUGAAAGCACUGCUUUGGACAGGGCUCCUACCCCAUAAAGCUUAUUUUUCAGUCAUUUUUAGAACUUGCAUCAGUUCAACUGUUUUUAGAUAGGUUUGUGGGUUGUUUUUUCUUUAAAAGUCUACACAAAGCAGCCUGUGGAAAUGUCAGAGGCAUGUGAACCAGAACAACUCCAUCUUUAAUAGGAGCUGGGUAAAGUGAGGCUGACACCUACUGGGCUGCAUUCCCAGGUGGUUAAGGCAUUCUAAGUCACAGGAUGAGAUAGGAGGUCAGCACAAAGUACAGGUCAUGAAGACCUUGCUGAUAAAACAGGUUGCAGUUAAGGAGCUGGCCAAAACCCACCAAAACCAAAAUAGUGACGAGAGUGACCUCUGGGCAGCCUCACUGUUACACUCCCACCAGCGCCAUGACAGUUUAAAAAAUGCCAUAGCAACGUCAGGAGCCCUAUGUGGUCUAAAUAGGGGAGGCAUGAAUAAUCCAUCCCUUGUGUAGCAUAUCAUCA
rnacentral:lncRNA from 1 species